GGCUCAGGACGAACGCUGGCGGCGUGCCUAAUACAUGCAAGUCGAGCGGACAGAUGGGAGCUUGCUCCCUGAUGUUAGCGGCGGACGGGUGAGUAACACGUGGGUAACCUGCCUGUAAGACUGGGAUAACUCCGGGAAACCGGGGCUAAUACCGGAUGGUUGUUUGAACCGCAUGGUUCAAACAUAAAAGGUGGCUUCGGCUACCACUUACAGAUGGACCCGCGGCGCAUUAGCUAGUUGGUGAGGUAAYGGCUCACCAAGGCRACGAUGCGUAGCCGACCUGAGAGGGUGAUCGGCCACACUGGGACUGAGACACGGCCCAGACUCCUACGGGAGGCAGCAGUAGGGAAUCUUCCGCAAUGGACGAAAGUCUGACGGAGCAACGCCGCGUGAGUGAUGAAGGUUUUCGGAUCGUAAAGCUCUGUUGUUAGGGAAGAACAAGUACCGUUCGAAUAGGGCGGUAC
rnacentral:rRNA from 1 species